rnacentral:rRNA from 1 species
UGGAAUUGGGAAAGAUGGAGUAAUCUAUCGCUUAUAGAUGGACCCGCGGCGCAUUAGCUAGUUGGUGAGGUAACGGCUCACCAAGGCGACGAUGCGUAGCCGACCUGAGAGGGUGAUCGGCCACACUGGGACUGAGACACGGCCCAGACUCCUACGGGAGGCAGCAGUAGGGAAUCUUCCGCAAUGGACGAAAGUCUGACGGAGCAACGCCGCGUGAGUGAUGAAGGUUUUCGGAUCGUAAAGCUCUGUUGCCAGGGAAGAACACUUGGGAGAGUAACUGCUCUCAAGCUGACGGUACCUGAGAAGAAAG